AGCUUACUGGGGACUUUCUGGCAAGAAGAUGUCUUGAUCCUGAAGAAUAAAGCUUCCAGAAAUUAUAGACACCUCAAGCAGCCUUGGAGCAGAGGUGGGUGGGGGCUGGAGGAGAAAUUCUCAGGUAGCAGCCCUCCCUAAGACACGCCAGCCUGGGAGAAGGUAGUACUGACAAUUCUGCUCAUUUCCAAGGGGUUCAUUUAUCUGGGGACUGCAUGGCGCCAGUCUGGGGACUCACCAGUAAAAUGACUCUUCCUAGCCCACCAGUCUCUAGUUCCUGAAAUAGAGGACAAUGUAUGUCAUUGAAUCUUCUCAGCACCCACAGAAGGAAGGUGUUGUACCACCCCUUGCACAGUUGUAGACCACUGGAGUCUUUCAAAGCUGUACAAACUGGGAAGGUUAAAUUCAUCGGUGCCAAGGAUUAACUAUACUGACCCUAAAUUCGUCUGUUAUCCUGAAUUUAAAAAGAAAAACUAUCUAGCUGGGCGCCGUGGCUUAUGCCUAUAAUCCCAACAGUUUGGGAGGCUGAGGUGGGCGGAUCACUUGAGGCCAGGCGUUCGAGACCAGCCUGGCCAACAUGGCAAAACCAUUUCUACUAAAAAUACAAAAAUGAGCUGGGCGUAGUGGUGCAUGCCUGUAAUCCCACCUACUCAGGAUGCUAAGAUGGGAGAAUUGCUUGAACGCCAAAAAAAAAAAAAAAAAAAAAAAUUUCCAGGGAGAGCAUACCUUUUGUCUGGUAGCUCUGUCAGCUAAAUUAACACAUAAUGUAUUUCCCCCAUCCAAGAUGGCUUCUCCAACUCCAGCCAUCACACCCAAAUCCCGUCAGCAAGGAGAAAAGGAAAUGAUCCUUCCCAGAAGAGGCGUAUAGCACUUCUGCUUGUAUGCUAGGAGUUAAUUACACAGCCACACCCAGCUUCAGGUGAGGCUGAGAGACUUGUCUUUAUUCUGGGAGGCCACGUGACUGGCUAAACCUUGGAGACUGUGCUCCUAGUAGAAGAAGAAAAUGGAUAUUAGAGGAUAACUAGAGGCAAUUUGAGUUGGGUUUCCUGUUACUUGCAAUCAAAUAUACCCUAAUUGGUACAACCUCAGAAACUCCUUUUUACCUGCCAUCUGCAAUCACAUGUUGAAGGAUAAAAAUGAGAGACUUUUCACUGGGAGCCCCUCAAGAUUUUCUCCUCAGGCUUAGGACAGCACCUGGCACAUAGAGGCACUUGAUAAACAUUUUCUAAAUUAAAGAAAAUUAACUAAGGGGAUUCAAAUAGAGAGAGUUCAAUAGAAUUGCUUUUUGACUUGUCAGCUCUAGCCUUGGGCAAGUCCUAAAAUCUUCUGAGCCUCGGCUUCCUUGCCUGUUAAUGAAAGUAAUACUUACCUUCAACCAUUGUUAUAAAUGUUAGUGACAACGCAAAGUGCCUAGCACAAUUCCUGGCACAUGCCCAUGGUUGACACACACACCACAUAUAAGUAUUUUUUAAAAUUACGAUUAUGUGAUUAGAUGUUUUGAAGGAACCCUGAAGUUGAGAAACAAAGGAUUCUGG
rnacentral:lncRNA from 1 species